rnacentral:rRNA from 1 species
CAGUAGCCAGGGAAUACGUAGGGUGCAAGCGUUAAUCGGAAUUACUGGGCGUAAAGGGCGCGUAGGUGGUUAUUUAAGUGAGAUGUGAAAGCCCCGGGCUUAACCUGGGAACUGCAUCUUAUACUGGGUAACUGGAGUGCAGUAGAGGGUAGUGGAAUUUCCGGUGUAGCGGUGAAAUGCGUAGAUAUCGGAAGGAACACCAGUGGCGAAGGCGGCUACCUGGACUGAGACUGACACUGAGGCGCGAGAGCGUGGGGAGCAAACAGGAUUAGAUACCCGCGUAGUCCCUGUCUCUUAUACA